rnacentral:rRNA from 1 species
GAUGAACGCUGGCGGCGUGCCUAAUACAUGCAAGUCGAGCGAACGGACGAGAAGCUUGCUUCUCUGAUGUUAGCGGCGGACGGGUGAGUAACACGUGGAUAACCUACCUAUAAGACUGGGAUAACUUCGGGAAACCGGAGCUAAUACCGGAUAAUAUUUUGAACCGCAUGGUUCAAAAGUGAAAGACGGUCUUGCUGUCACUUAUAGCUGGAUCCGCGCUGCAUUGGCUAGUUGGUAGGGUAACGGCGUACCAGGGCAACGAUGCAUCGCCGACCUGCGAGGGGGGUCGGCGGCAGGGGAGGGGGGACGGGGACCAGGGGCCUGCGGGAGGGAGCAGGAGGGAAUCGGCGGCAGUGGGGGGAAGCCUGGCGGAGCGGCGGGGCGGGAGUGGUGGAGGUCUUGGGUGCGGGAAGCUGGGUUAUGGGGGAAGAACAGAUGUGGAAGGAGCUGAGGAGAGCGUGACGGUACCUAAUAAGGAAGCCACGGCUAACUACGUG